UAACGCGUGGGGAACCUGCCCUAUACAGGGGGAUAACAGCUGGAAACGGUUGCUAAUACCGCAUAAGCGCACAGAAUCGCAUGAUUCAGUGUGAAAAGCCCUGGCAGUAUAGGAUGGUCCCGCGUCUGAUUAGCUGGUUGGUGAGGUAACGGCUCACCAAGGCGACGAUCAGUAGCCGGCUUGAGAGAGUGAACGGCCACAUUGGGACUGAGACACGGCCCAA
rnacentral:rRNA from 1 species